AUGUUCAACUUGGUAGCACAUAUACUAAAAUUGGAAUGAUGAGAAGAUUAGCAUGGACUGAGCAAAACGAUGAUGUGCAAAUUCGUGAAGGGUUCCACAUUUUU